rnacentral:rRNA from 1 species
UACGUAGGGUGCAAGCGUUGUCCGGAAUUAUUGGGCGUAAAGAGCUCGUAGGCGGUCUGUCGCGUCGGCUGUGAAAACCCGGAGCUCAACUCCGGGCCUGCAGUCGAUACGGGCAAACUGGAGUGUUGCAGGGGAGACUGGAAUUCCUGGUGUAGCGGUGAAAUGCGCAGAUAUCAAGGAGGAACACCGGUGGCGAAGGCGGGUCUCUGGGCAACAACUGACGCUGAGGAGCGAAAGCGU